UUACAUCCACCCUUUUGUUUGUCAUAGUAGCCUUAAUACUGUAUUUCAUUUGGAAACGGAGACGACUCUACUAUUGUUCCUUCAAACAUCCAGGCCCUUUUGGAUUUCCCUUAAUCGGGUCCGCCCAUUUACUAACAGCAGGACCUUCAGAAAGCUAUAAUACUUUAAUGCGCAUAGCACAAUAUUCUCCUGUCACUCGGGUAUGGUUUGGGCCAUUUUUUUACCUUUUUAUCUCUAAACCGGGGGACGUGGAAAUUUUGCUAAACAAGUCUGUUGAUAAAAGCAUAUAUUACGCUAAAUACUUAGGAGAUGCUUUAAAAACUGGCUUACUGAUCUCCCCACCUGAAAUUUGGAAAGGACGAAGAAAACUGAUAAAUCAAACUUUUAAUUCAAAUGUUGUCAAUUCAUUUGUUCCUGCUUUUACUAAAUGUGCAAACCGUUUAGCAAACGAACUAGAUAAAGUAUGUAAGGGAACAAAUGACCCACCGGACCUGUUUGACAUAAUAAUGAAAACUUACCUUAAUGCUGGAUGUGAAACACUAGCAGACGUACGUCCUGACUCAUUAUACAACAAAGAAAAAUUUUUGGCCACUGGAUA